UCAGACGAUGCGUCAUGCAUAUCAAUAAGCGGAGGAAAAGAAACUAACAAGGAUUCCCCUUAGUAACGGCGAGUGAAGCGGGAAGAGCUCAAAUUUGAAAUCUUCAAGGGUUUACCUUUACGAAUUGUAGUUUAAAGAAGUGUUUUCUGUUGAGGUUUUGGUAAAAGUUCUUUGGAAUAGGACAUCAUAGAGGGUGAGAAUCCCGUAUUUGACCUUUACUUUCAACUUUGUGAUACACUUUCAAAGAGUCGGAUUGUUUGGGAAUGCAGUCCAAAAUGGGUGGUAAAUUUCAUCUAAAGCUAAAUAUUGGCGAGAGACCGAUAGCGAACAAGUACCGUGAGGGAAAGAUGAAAAGAACUUUGAAAAGAGAGUUAAACAGUACGUGAAAUUGUCAAAAGGGAAGCGUUUGACACCAGUGUUGUUUUUCUGAAAAUCGAUUAAAGAACUGUUUAUGCUAAGUUGUUUAGACUUUAUCAGCUAUCUGUUUAGUUUUGAGCUUUUCUUUAAUGCACUUUUCAGUUAACAAGUCAACAUCAAUUUCUUUUGCUGUAAAAAAGCUUGAGGAAGGUGGCUUGAGAUUCGUCUUAAGUGUUUAUAGCCUCUUGCCUAUGCAGUCGGAGAGAUUGAGGUCUGCAGCGUAGAUCCUUCGGGGCUAAAUGCAUUUGUGCUAAGUUAUAGCAUUUUAUAGACAACUUGUUGACUAUGAUUUGUCUUGUAGCUUACUCGCUUAUGUUAUUUUACCUACGCUUAGGAUGUUGAGCGCAUGUCUCUCUCU
rnacentral:rRNA from 1 species